rnacentral:rRNA from 1 species
AGCCACAUAGAAGAUAUUUGUGGUUUAACCUGCCCAAUGUAAUUUUAAUGAAUGGCCGCGGUACUCUGACCGUGCUAAGGUAGCGUAAUCAGUUGGCUUUUAAAUGGAGUCAGGAAUGAAUGGGAUAACCGGGUUUAGCUGUCUCCUAAUUAUUUUAUUGAAUUUACUGUUCAAGUGAAAAAGCUUGUUGAUAAAAAAGGGACGAGAAGACCCUUAGAAUUUUAUUUAACAAGGGAUAAUUAGAAUUAAAUUUACCUUUACAAUUUUGUUGGGGCGACAGAGAAAUAGUUUUAAAACUUUCUUUAUAAUAACGGGCCGAAUUUUAUUAAGCAAGGAUAAAUUACCUGAGGGAUAACAGCAUAAUUCCAUAAAAGAGUUUGUGACCUCGAUGUUGGACUAGGAAACUAGCAGAUUAGCCAUUUGUUGUGUUAGGUUCUGUUCGAACUUUAAUUCCU